rnacentral:lncRNA from 1 species
UAUUUAUGACACAUUAAAUUCAUGUCUCAAGCAGGUUGACCUGUGUAACCCAUUUUGACUCAUUUAACUAAAUAGGUUAAAACAGGUAAAUGGGUUACACGAUAUGUUUAAACAUAUUUAACAUAUUUAUUUCAAGAUUACUUAAGGGCAAAUGAGAAAAAUCAAAAAAUUAUAAUCCUAACCUAAAAUAAACAACGAUGGAAUUCGGAGCUGUGAAUUAGCAUAGCAGCUAACUAAAUUAUUUUUAUAUUACUCUAAUUUUUUAACUAAAUUUUUAUUAUUUUAGUUAAAAAUUUAUAAAUAAGUCAAAUAGUUAAACGAAUCAUUAGGCGGAUCGUGUACUCGUUUGACCCACCAACACGGUUAUUAAUCAUGUUAGAC